rnacentral:rRNA from 1 species
UUCCGGUUGAUCCUGCCGGACCUGACUGCUACCGGAUUGAUACUAAGCCAUGCGAGUCAUUGUAGCAAUACAAGGCAUACGGCUCAGUAACGCGUAGUCAACCUAACCUAUGGACGGGAAUAACCUCGGGAAACUGAGAAUAAUGCUCGAUAGAACAUUAUACCUGGAAUGGUUUAUGUUCCAAAUGAUUUAUCGCCGUAGGAUGGGACUGCGGCCUAUCAGUUUGUUGGUGAGGUAAUGGCCCACCAAGACUAUUACAGGUACGGGCUCUGAGAGGAGUAGCCCGGAGAUGGGUACUGAGACACGGACCCAGGCCCUAUGGGGCGCAGCAGGCGAGAAAACUUUGCAAUGUGCGAAAGCACGACAAGGUUAAUCCGAGUGAUUUCUGCUAAAGAAAUCUUUUGUUAGUCCUAGAAACACUAACGAAUAAGGGGUGGGCAAGUUCUGGUGUCAGCCGCCGCGGUAAAACCAGCACCUCAAGUGGUCAGGAUGAUUAUUGGGCCUAAAGCAUCCGUAGCUGGCUCUGUAAGUUUUCGGUUAAAUCUGUACGCUUAACGUACAGGCUGCCGGGAAUACUGCAUAGCUAGGGAGUGGGAGAAGUAGACGGUACUCGGUAGGAAGUGGUAAAAUGCUUUGAUCUAUCGAUGACCACCUGUGGCGAAGGCGGUCUACUAGAACACGUCCGACGGUGAGGGAUGAAAGCUGGGGGAGCAAACCGGAUUAGAUACCCGGGUAGUCCCAGCUGUAAACUAUGCAAACUCAGUGAUGCAUUGGCUUGUGGCCAAUGCAGUGCUGCAGGGAAGCCGUUAAGUUUGCCGCCUGGGAAGUACGUACGCAAGUAUGAAACUUAAAGGAAUUGGCGGGGGAGCACCACAAGGGGUGAAGCCUGCGGUUCAAUUGGAGUCAACGCCGGA